rnacentral:lncRNA from 1 species
CUCUACCGUGGAAGUAAUCAAAUAACUUGACUUCUCACGUAAAACUUUGCAAAUUUCCUUAUGCUUCGAAUAAUGUUGUUCUUGGCAAGAUUCGCUGCAAUACGCAGUGGUAAAGCACUUUUCGCACAUUGUCGGUUUGCACUUCACACGACAAUACGAGCAAUAUGGGACAGACAAAUUCAACUUACUAUCGUUUUCAUUUUCUUUGUUCUGGUACACUUCGUUAUUCUGGAAUU